rnacentral:rRNA from 1 species
UACAGAGGUCUCAAGCGUUGUUCGGAUUCAUUGGGCGUAAAGGGUGCGUAGGCGGCGCGGUAAUCGGGUGUUAAAUCUCGGAGCCUAACUCCGAAACUGCAUUCGAUACUGCCGUGCUUGAGGACUGGAGAGGAGACUGGAAUUUACGGUGUAGCGGUGAAAUGCGUAGAUAUCGUAAGGAAGACCAGUGGCGAAGGCGGGUCUCUGGACAGUUCCUGACGCUGAGGCACGAAGGCCAGGGGAGCAAACGGG